GUCUAUUAAUUAGGGUUCCAGCCAAAUAACUCUCCUCCAAAAUUUUAAUCCCUGCUUCUCACCCGCUCCCCUGCGUCAAGCCAUUCAAAGAACCCUGCUUCCAUACAUUUGCUCUGAUCGAUUUGGUGGUCUUCCAUGGUAGAUUCGUAAACAUCUCCAUAUAUUCAAGUGCAGAGCUGCGCUAUGUUGUGCGAUAUGUACUAUGGCUUAUGAGACAAAUGAGGAAGGGGAUAAUCUCAAGGCAUCAGCAUAUUCCUCACUUUAUUAUGAAUCUUUACUCCAGAAACUUGAAUAACAAAAUGAGAUGGAUAUUUCAUAUGUUGUGAACAAAUCUCCAAAGAAAAAUAAAAAAAUUUAAAAAGAUGCAAGCCAA